GGAGUCAGAAGCUCUGUGGGUGGAGAAGAGGGAUGUGUGUUAUCACAAGCCCUCCAAGAGGUUAUGAUGCUCCGAAGUUUGAGAACCCCUUGGGUACAGGAUGGGUGCCUGGGUAAGAGAGGUUCAAUCCCAAGGACAGGCAGAGGAGUACGGAUUAUCGGCCAAAAUUUGAGUCAACUGGGGCAGAGGAGCCAGGCACAGGCAGGAGGGAGGACCUGGAGCCAGCUUGACUGAGGAAGCCAGCUGCCGUGAGAAAAGGCCCAUAUGGCGAGCCUCUGAGUAUGCCAACGGUAUAUGAGUGAGCCACCUUGGAGGUGACUCUUCAAGCCUUCAGAUGUUUACAGUUCCUGCUGACAUCCUUACUGCAAGCCCAUGAGCCAUCCUGAGCUAGAACCAGCCAGCCAAAGUGGCUCCUGAAUGCCUGACCCACAGAAACUGAGAGAUAUUAAGUAUUUGUGGCUUUAAGCUACUGAAUUUUGGAUAAUUUGUUACACAGCA
rnacentral:lncRNA from 1 species